UCAUCGCGCUUGGUUGAAAAGCCA
rnacentral:snRNA from 1 species